rnacentral:rRNA from 1 species
CUGGUGACAUUAGCAAACGGGAACCACCUGAAUCCAUCUCGAACUCAGAAGUGAAAACGUUUAGCGCCGAUGAUAGUGUGGGGCUUCCCCAUGUGAAAGUAGGUCAACGCCAGGC